GGCAGGAUGGCCGAGUGGUUAUGGCGGAGGGUUCAAGUCACUGACUUGUCUCGUGUCUAACACGGAGAUUUCCUCUGGAGCAAUCCGCAGGGGUUCGAAUCCCCUUCCUGUCA